rnacentral:rRNA from 1 species
UAAACUGGGAUUAGAUACCCCACUAUGCUUGGCCCUAAACCUAAAUAAUUAAAUAACAAAAUUAUUUGCCAGAGAACUACUAGCCACCGCUUAAAACUCAAAGGACUUGGCGGUACUUUAUAUCCACCUAGAGGAGCCUGUUCUAUAAUCGAUAAACCCCGCUAUACCUCACCAUCUCUUGCUAAUUCAGCCUAUAUACCGCCAUCUUCAGCAAACCCUAAAAAGGUACCAAAGUAAGCGCAAGAACAAACAUAAAAACGUUAGGUCAAGGUGUAGCCAAUGAGAUGGGAAGAAAUGGGCUACAUUUUCUUUCCAAAGAACAUUACGAAACCCUUUAUGAAAUUAAAGGAUAAAGGAGGAUUUAGCAGUAAAUUAAGAAUAGAGUGCUUAAUUGAACGGAGCAAUGAAGUACGU